CUACGAUAUAAUUACCUCGUUCUACACAUUAGGUUCUCGACCCACUCCUUAAUAGAAUAAAGUGGUUGCCACGCCUUAGGAUCUCAUGCCCUAAUAAGUCGAGGCCACGCAUUUUUGUUUUAAACAAUGUUACCUUAGGGGCUCCUUAAUUGCCCAGUACAGAAGCUGUUGGUUGGAUACUUUUUCACAGUUGUUGCCAGUGGAGCUCAUAUGAUUUUUGUGUAUCUCCCUCUGUCUCUCUUUCUUCUCUGCUAUAUUCUCUACGGGAGGUAUCAACCUAAGGAAUGCUGCAUUGGAGUUUGGCUGUGCCAGCCAAUCAAAAUCGCUACUGACUGCUAAGGGGCGGUCCUUGGCAAAUAAAUGGGUUCACCUGGGAGCUUGUCGGCUUGGUGGUUUUAAGCAGCGAUGUGUGUGGACAGGUUAACCUGGACGCCCCUCUUCACACAGUGUAGUUGUUUUCUGUUAGACACGCCAGACACAAGUUGGUCGUUUGUAAACGGCAGGUGGAUUGGAAGGAGACGGAAACCUUUACAGAAAAGGAAACGGACAGGCCUACAGCGGCACCACGUUAAAGUGUUUCUGCAUAUCAACACUGAAGGGCUUUUGGUGCCAGUGAAAACCCACUGCAUGAAGACCAACAUAACAUCGUACAUGUGGAAAAGCGUGCCAGCAGAACACCAAAGCACGAGUCCAAGAACACAGUUGCUGGCCAAAGAGACAGAGACCAGGUGGAUGAAAAAGUCUAAACGUCUCCAACCAUGUAAAGAUAGGAUUAAGUGAGUUAGUUCUGAUUGAUUCAGCAUUGAAAUCCAGUCGGUAAGGAAAUACUUCCAUCAAGGGUCUUUGAAACAGUGGCUUGUGAGUUCACAAACAGAUGCUUGGUCAAGUUUCUAUAGGCGAACACUCAUACAUACAUACGCACGCGCACACACACACUCACAACAUUCACACUCAAGACAGCCUUUGACGAUGUUCAGCUUAUUUUCAACAUUAAAACACAUGCUCACGCACAGCCUGGAUAUACAGACAGUUAGUUCAGUGUACCUCCCUUUUGUAUAUCUACUGAAUUCAAUGCAUAAGCUCUCGGCUGAUUGGUCUAGCAACAGGCCACAUACUGCUGGGUGAUGAUGUGUUUUUGUUUCCUUUGUUGUUGUUUUUUUCGCUUGCUCUGGUCCAAUCGCUGGCUCAGAAACAGAAGUGUGCAAGUUUCAAAUUUCUUUAGUUGGUUUUUGUGAAAAAAAAAAAAACACUUAAGAAUGACCUACAGAAAGAGAGAGACAGCGAGAGAGAAAAGAGCACGAGCACUUAAGGCUAAUAGAAGUUCUGAAGAAACCACACAAAUGUCGAAAUACGUAAGAAGGUAGCAGGAGCUUUUCCCCAGCAUCUCGGUCAGGAAGGCUGUAGGGCCAUGUGAGGUUUCUCUGUUUCUGGGCUUGGUUUAAAAAUGGCUGCCUUUCCUCUGCUUCUCCUGAACUAAAAAGAAAAAAAAAUACUUUUUUGGGAAAACUCAAAAAAUCAUAAAAAUCAUCGAAGGCUUACGUUUCUGUUGAUUCUUGCUUUUGUGAGUCUACAAACAAUAAAAGAUGCUUUGACAUGCUGAACGUCUCCA
ensembl:lncRNA